rnacentral:rRNA from 1 species
AGUGAACGCUGGCGGUAGGCCUAACACAUGCAAGUCGAACGGCAGCACAGUAAGAGCUUGCUCUUACGGGUGGCGAGUGGCGGACGGGUGAGGAAUACAUCGGAAUCUACUUUUUCGUGGGGGAUAACUUAGGGAAACUUACGCUAAUACCGCAUACGACCUACGGUUGAAAGCAGGGGAUCUUCGGACCUUGCGCGAUUGAAUGAGCCGAUGUCGGAUUAGCUAGUUGGCGGGGUAAAGGCCCACCAAGGCGACGAUCCGUAGCUGGUCUGAGAGGAUGAUCAGCCACACUGGAACUGAGACACGGUCCAGACUCCUACGGGAGGCAGCAGUGGGGAAUAUUGGACAAUGGGCGCAAGCCUGAUCCAGCCAUACCGCGUGGGUGAAGAAGGCCUUCGGGUUGUAAAGCCCUUUUGUUGGGAAAGAAAAGCAGCAGGUUAAUACCCCGCUGUUCUGACGGUACCCAAAGAAUAAGCACCGGCUAACUUCGUG